rnacentral:rRNA from 1 species
GACGAACGCUGGCGGCGUGCCUAACACAUGCGAGUCGAGCGAAUGAAGUUCCUUCGGGAAUGGAUUUAGCGGCGGACGGGUGAGUAACACGUGGGCAACCUGCCUCAUAGAGGGGAAUAGCCUCCCGAAAGGGAGAUUAAUACCGCAUAAGAUUGUAGUACCGCAUGAUACAGCAAUUAAAGGAGCAAUCCGCUAUGAGAUGGGCCCGCGGCGCAUUAGCUAGUUGGUGAGGUAAUGGCUCACCAAGGCGACGAUGCGUAGCCGACCUGAGAGGGUGAUCGGCCACAUUGGGACUGAGACACGGCCCAGACUCCUACGGGAGGCAGCAGUGGGGAAUAUUGCACAAUGGGGGAAACCCUGAUGCAGCAACGCCGCGUGAGUGAUGACGGCCUUCGGGUUGUAAAGCUCUGUCUUCAGGGACGAUAAUGACGGUACCUGAGGAGGAAGCCACGGCUAACUACGU